GAUGAACGCUGGCGGCGUGCCUAAUACAUGCAAGUCGAGCGGACAGAUGAGGAGCUUGCUCCUCUGACGUUAGCGGCGGACGGGAGAGUAACACGUGGAUAACCUACCUAUAAGACUGGGAUCACUUCGGAAAACCGGAGCUAAUACCGGAUAAUAUAUUGAACCGCAUGGUUCGAUGGUGAAAUACGGUUUUGCUGGCACUUAUCGAUGGAUCCCCGCCGCAUUGGCUAGUUGGUAAGGUAACGGCUUACCAAGGCAACGAUGCGUAGCCGACCUGAGAGGGUGGUAGGCCACCCUGGAACGGAGACACGGUCCAGAGUCCUACGGGAGGCAGCAGUAGGGAAUCGUCCGCAAUGGGCGAAAGCAUGACGGAGCAACGCCGCGUGAGUGAUGAAGGUCUUCGGAUCGUAAAAACCUGUUACGAGGGAAGAACAAAUGUGUAAGGAACUAUGCACGUAUUGACGGUACCGAAUCAGAAAGCAACGGCUAACUACGUG
rnacentral:rRNA from 1 species